AAAUAGGAAUUAACUAAAAAUUCUGUGUGUUUUGCUCAUUGAUGUCCCCCAAAAAAGGGCAACGUCUUAACCUGAGAGCCAUAUAGAUCAAGGUUAAGGUUUCCUCGAACUUUAAACUUACUUCCAGCAACCAUGGUCUUCGUCUUCUCCUUGUUUACUACCAUCCUGUUGUUUUCUGACCACUUCAUCACUGGUUGUAAAUAACUAUUCAAUUGAUGUUCCACAUCCUGUAAGUUCUAUACAGCCACAUAAUUCAUUUAGAGAAUGAACAACAAAGGUUCCAAUAUCGAUCCUUGUGAAACACCAGAUACUACGUUAGCUUUUGAAGAUACGUUAUUGUCCA